rnacentral:tRNA from 1 species
GGAUCCUUAGCUCAGCGGUAGAGCGCUUCGUUCACAUCGAAGACGUCGCAAGUUCGAAUCUUGCAGGAUCCA